UGUAUUGAGUUUGUUCAAAAUGAGUUAGACCCUUGUUGAGAGAUUUAUCAUACUCCUAAGAUCAAGACAUUUUUAUUCAGAAAGAUUCACUCUUCCGAAGUAUUAUUGCGUUAGAGGCAUGGGCUAUGUAAAAAUAUGAAUAUUUUGACGAAAUAAAAAGGAGCAAGUGCUCGACAACCUCGCAGAAAAAAUGGACAAG
rnacentral:lncRNA from 1 species